UCAGGUUGAUAGGUUCGAGGUGGAAGCAUGGUGACAUGUGGAGCUGACGAAUACUAAUAGAUCGAGGACUUAACCAUAUAA
rnacentral:rRNA from 2 species